rnacentral:rRNA from 1 species
UACGGGGGGGGGCAAGCGUUGUUCGGAAUUACUGGGCGUAAAGGGUUUGUAGGUGGCCCGCUAAGUCACACGUGAAAUCCCUCAGCUUAACUGGGGAACUGCGUGUGAGACUGGCAGGCUCGAGGGCAGGAGAGGAACGCGGAAUUCCAGGAUGUAGCGGUGAAAUGCGUAGAUAUCUGGAGGAACACCGGUGGCGAAGGCGACAUCCUGGACCGGUAUUGACGCUGAGGCGCGAAAGCCAGGGGAGCAAAGCAGG